rnacentral:rRNA from 1 species
AUUGAACGCCGGCGGCAUGCCUUACACAUGCAAGUCGAACGGCAGCACGGAGCUUGCUCUGGUGGCGAGUGGCGAACGGGUGAGUAAUAUAUCGGAACGUACCCAAGAGUGGGGGAUAACGUAGCGAAAGUUACGCUAAUACCGCAUACGAUCUAAGGAUGAAAGCAGGGGACCUUCGGGCCUUGUGCUCCUGGAGCGGCCGAUAUCUGAUUAGCUAGUUGGUGAGGUAAAGGCUCACCAAGGCAUCGAUCAGUAGCUGGUCUGAGAGGACGACCAGCCACACUGGAACUGAGACACGGUCCAGACUCCUACGGGAGGCAGCAGUGGGGAAUUUUGGACAAUGGGGGCAACCCUGAUCCAGCCAUGCCGCGUGAGUGAAGAAGGCCUUCGGGUUGUAAAGCUCUUUCGCGAGGGAAGAAAGCGCAACGGUUAAUACCCGUUGUGGAUGACGGUACCUUGAUAAGAAGCACCGGCUAACUACGUGCCAGCCGCCGCCGUAA